rnacentral:rRNA from 1 species
GACGAACGCUGGCGGCGUGCUUAACACAUGCAAGUCGAACGGAAAGACCCUGCUUUUGUGGGGUGCUCGAGUGGCGAACGGGUGAGUAACACGUGAGUAACCUGCCCUUGACUUUGGGAUAACUUCAGGAAACUGGGGCUAAUACCGGAUAGGAGCUCCUGCUGCAUGGUGGGGGUUGGAAAGUUUCGGCGGUUGGGGAUGGACUCGCGGCUUAUCAGCUUGUUGGUGGGGUAGUGGCUUACCAAGGCUUUGACGGGUAGCCGGCCUGAGAGGGUGACCGGCCACAUUGGGACUGAGAUACGGCCCAGACUCCUACGGGAGGCAGCAGUGGGGAAUAGUGCACAAUGGGCGGAAGCCUGAUGCAGCAACGCCGCGUGCGGGAUGACGGCCUUCGGGUUGUAAACCGCUUUCGCCUGUGACGAAGCGUGAGUGACGGUAAUGGGUAAAGAAGCACCGGCUAACUACGUG